rnacentral:rRNA from 1 species
UACGGGGGGGGCAAGCGUUGUUCGGAAUUACUGGGCGUAAAGGGCUCGUAGGCGGCCAACUAAGUCAGACGUGAAAUCCCUCGGCUUAACCUGGGAAUGGCAUUUGGGACUGCAAGGCUGGAGUGUGGCAGAGGAGACUGGAAUUCCCGGUGUAGCAGUGAAAUGCGUAGAUAUCGGGAGGAAUACCGAUGGCGAAGGCAGGUCUCUGGGCUGACACUGACGCUCAUGCACGAAAGCGUGGGGAGCAAACAGG